rnacentral:ncRNA from 1 species
GCCAAUUCUAAAGCAUGUCACCCAAAAGUGGGAACCGGUUUUGGGAUAAUGACAUGCUUGAAAAUAGAGACUUAAAGCGUGUCGCAUGGACCAGAUAUAAUAUGUCACGCUUUAGGAGUACGCCGUGGAACGACUGAUCGAACGCAGCCUUUUCGCCA